UCCGUAGGCAGCGAGCGUUGUUCGGAAUUACUGGGCGUAAAGAGUGUGUAGGCGGUGCUCUAAGUUCGGUGUGAAAUCUCCCGGCUUAACUGGGAGGGUGCGCCGGAAACUGGAGUGCUCGAGCGUGGGAGAGGAAAGCGGAAUUCCUGGUGUAGCGGUGAAAUGCGUAGAUAUCAGGAGGAACACCUGCGGUGUAGACGGCUUUCUGGACCAUUGCUGACGCUGAGACACGAAAGCGUGGGUAGCAAACAGG
rnacentral:rRNA from 1 species